rnacentral:rRNA from 1 species
UACGGGAGGCAGCAGUAGGGAAUCUUCCGCAAUGGACGAAAGUCUGACGGAGCAACGCCGCGUGAGUGAUGAAGGUUUUCGGAUCGUAAAGCUCUGUUGUUAGGGAAGAACAAGUGCAAGAGUAACUGCUUGCACCUUGACGGUACCUAACCAGAAAGCCACGGCUAACUACGUGCCAGCAGCCGCGGUAAUACGUAGGUGGCAAGCGUUGUCCGGAAUUAUUGGGCGUAAAGGGCUCGCAGGCGGUUUCUUAAGUCUGAUGUGAAAGCCCCCGGCUCAACCGGGGAGGGUCAUUGGAAACUGGGAAACUUGAGUGCAGAAGAGGAGAGUGGAAUUCCACGUGUAGCGGUGAAAUGCGUAGAGAUGUGGAGGAACAHCAGUGGCGAGGCGACUCUCUGGUCUGUAACUGACGCUGAGGAGCGAAAGCGUGGGGAGCGAACAGGAUAGAUACCCUGGUAGUCCACGCCGUAAACGAUGAGUGCUAAGUGUUAGGGGGUUUCCGCCCCUUAGUGCUGCAGCUAACGCAUAAGCACUCCGCCUGGGGAGUACGGUCGCAAGACUGAAACUCAAAGGAAUUGACGGGGGCCCGCACAAGCGGUGGAGCAUGUGGUUUAAUUCGAAGCAACGCGAAGAACCUUACCAGGUCUUGACAUCCUCUGACAACCCUAGAGAUAGGGCUUUCCCUUCGGGGACAGAGUGACAGGUGGUGCAUGGUUGUCGUCAGCUCGUGUCGUGAGAUGUUGGGUUAAGUCCCGCAACGAGCGCAACCCUUGAUCUUAGUUGCCAGCAUUCAGUUGGGCACUCUAAGGUGACUGCCGGUGACAAACCGGA